CAAGGCGACGAUGCGUAGCCGACCUGAGAGGGUGAUCGCCCACACUGAGACUGAGACACGGCCCAGACUCCUACGAGAGGCAGCAGUAGGGAAUCUUCCGCAAUGGACGAAAGUCUGACGGAGCAACGCCGCGUGAGUGAGGAAGGCCUUCGGGUCGUAAAGCUCUGUUGUGAGGGAAGAACAAGUACCGGGGUAACUACCGGUACCUUGACGGUACCUCACCAGAAAGCCACGGCUAACUACGUGCCAGCAGCCGCGGUAAUACGUAGGUGGCAAGCGUUGUCCGGAAUUAUUGGGCGUAAAGCGCGCGCAGGCGGCUUCUUAAGUCUGAUGUGAAAUCUCGGGGCUCAACCCCGAGCGGCCAUUGGAAACUGGGAAGCUUGAGUGCAGAAGAGGAGAGUGGAAUUCCACGUGUAGCGGUGAAAUGCGUAGAUAUGUGGAGGAACACCAGUGGCGAAGGCGACUCUCUGGUCUGUAACUGACGCUGAGGCGCGAAAGCGUGGGGAGCAAACAGGAUUAGAUACCCUGGUAGUCCACGCCGUAAACGAUGAGUGCUAGGUGUUAGGGGUUUCGAUGCCCGUAGUGCCGAAGUAAACACAUAAGC
rnacentral:rRNA from 2 species